CCCUUAGAUGCUCUGGGCCGCACGCGCGCUACACUGGUCGAUGCAACGAGUUUCUUUCCUUGGCCGACAGGCCUGGGCAAUCUUUGAACAUCGAUCGUGAUCGGGAUAGAUUCUUGUAAUUUUUGAUCUUAAACGAGGAAUUCCUAGUAAACGCAAGUCAUCAGCUUGCAUUGAUUACGUCCCUGCCCUUUGUACACACCGCCCGUCGCGCCUACCGAUUGAAUGGUCCGGUGAAAUCUCCGGACUGGCGUGAGUCGGAGCAAUCUGACAAACACCGGAAAGUUGAUUAAACCUUACCAUUUAGAGGAAGGUGAAGUCGUAACA
rnacentral:rRNA from 1 species